GACGAACGCUGGCGGCGUGCUUAACACAUGCAAGUCGAACGGAAAGGCCCUGCUUUUGUGGGGUGCUCGAGUGGCGAACGGGUGAGUAAAACGUGAGUAACAUGCCCUUGACUGUGGGAUAACUUCAGGAAACUGGGGCUAAUACCGGAUAGGAGCUCCUGCUGCAUGGUGGGGGUUGGAAAGUUUCGGCGGUUGGGGAUCGACUCGCGGCUUAUCAGCUUGUUGGUGGGGUAGUGGCUUACCAAGGCUUUGACGGGUAGCCGGCCUGAGAGGGUGACCGGCCACAUUGGGACUGAGAUACGGACCAGACUCCUACGGGAGGCAGCAGUGGGGAAUAUUGCACAAUGGGCGGAAGCCUGAUGCAGCAGCGCCGCGUGCGUGAUGACGUCCUUCGGGUUGUAAACCGCUUUGGCCUGUGACGAAGCGUGAGUGACGGUAAUGGGUAAAGAAGCACCGGCUAACUACGUG
rnacentral:rRNA from 1 species